rnacentral:rRNA from 1 species
UACGUAGGUGGCAAGCGUUGUCCGGAAUCACUGGGCGUAAAGCGCGCGCAGGCGGCGAUCUACGUCUGGGGUGAAAGCCCGGAGCUCAACUCCGGGACUGCCUUGGAUACGGGAUCGCUUGAGAAUUGGGGAGGCAAGGGGAAUUCCACGUGUAGCGGUGAAAUGCGUAGAUAUGUGGAGGAACACCUGUGGCGAAGGCGGGUCUCUGGGCAGUAACUGACGCUGAGGAGCGAAAGCGUGGGGAGCAAACAGG